rnacentral:rRNA from 1 species
CAUUAAAGAGAUAGGGUCUUCAUGGCCCGACCUCCAACCCUCUGUUGUUAAAACUACCUUGUUGCUUUGGCGGGACCGUCUCGGUCUCCGAGCGCACUAACCCUCGGGUUGGUGAGCGCCCGCCAGAGUCCAACCAAACUCUUGUAUUAAACCAGUCGUCUGAGUAUAAAAUUUUAAUUAAAUUAAAACUUUCAACAACGGAUCUCUUGGUUCUCGCAUCGAUGAAGAACGCAGCGAAAUGCGAUAAGUAAUGUGAAUUGCAGAAUUCAGUGAAUCAUCGAAUCUUUGAACGCACAUUGCGCCCCUUGGUAUUCCGAGGGGCAUGCCUGUUCGAGCGUCAUUACACCACUCAAGCAUCGCUUGGUAUUGGGAACGGUCCGUCGAAAGGCGGGCCUUCCUCGAAGACCUCGGCGGGGUUCAACCAACUUCGGGCGUAGUAGAGUUAAAUCGAACGUCUUAUAAGCUUGGUCGGAUCUCAUUGCCGUUAAACCUUUAUAUUUUCUAGGUUGACCUCGGAUCAGGUAGGGAUACCC